rnacentral:SRP_RNA from 2 species
GCUGGGUGUGGUGAUGCACACCUGUAAUCCCAGCUACUCGGGAGGCUGAGGCAGGAGAAUCGCUUGAACCCAGGAGGCGGAGGUUGCAGUGAGCCAAGAUCGUGCCAUUGCACUCCAGCCUGGGUGACAGAGUGAGACUCUGUCUCAA